rnacentral:rRNA from 1 species
UACGUAGGUCCCGAGCGUUGUCCGGAUUUAUUGGGCGUAAAGCGAGCGCAGGUUGUUUAUUAAGUCUGGUGUAAAAGGCAGUGGCUCAACCAUUGUAUGCAUUGGAAACUGGUAGACUUGAGUGCAGGAGAGGAGAGUGGAAUUCCAUGUGUAGCGGUGAAAUGCGUAGAUAUAUGGAGGAACACCGGUGGCGAAAGCGGCUCUCUGGCCUGUAACGGACACUGAGGCUCGAAAGCGUGGGGAGCAAACAGG